rnacentral:rRNA from 1 species
GACGAACGCUGGCGGCGCGCCUAACACAUGCAAGUCGAACGAGCGAGAGAGAGCUUGCUUUCUCGAGCGAGUGGCGAACGGGUGAGUAACGCGUGAGGAACCUGCCUCAAAGAGGGGGACAACAGUUGGAAACGACGGCUAAUACCGCAUAAGCCCACGACCCGGCAGCGGGGGGAGGGAAAAGGAGCAAUCCGCUGUGGGAUGGCCUCGCGUCCGAUUAGCUAGUGGGUGAGGUAACGGCCCAGCACGGCGACGAGCGGUAGCCGGGCGGGGGGGAUGCCCGGCCACGUUUGGGCUGCGACACGGCCCCGACUCCUACGGGAGGCAGCAGUGGGUAAUACUGCACAAUGGGGCCUACUCUGAUGCAGCCACGCCGCGUGGAGGAAGCAUGUCUUCGGAUUGUAAUCUCCUGUUGUUGGGGAAGAUAAUGACGGUACUCAACAAGGAAGCGCCGGCUAACUACGUG